rnacentral:rRNA from 1 species
UACGUAGGUGGCAAGCGUUGUCCGGAUUUACUGGGUGUAAAGGGCGUGCAGCCGGGCUGACAAGUCAGAUGUGAAAUCCCGCGGCUCAACCGCGGAACUGCAUUUGAAACUGUCAGUCUUGAGUACCGGAGAGGUCAUCGGAAUUCCUUGUGUAGCGGUGAAAUGCGUAGAUAUUAGGAGGAACACCAGUGGCGAAGGCGGCCUGCUGGACGACAACUGACGGUGAGGCGCGAAAGCGUGGGGAGCAAACAGG